ensembl:misc_RNA
UUCUCAGGCUGAUGGAGCAAGCAAUGAAAUGGGGUUACCAUCUGUAGCUACUCCUGGAAGGGCUGCAGGGGAUAGAUUCAGACAUUCCCAGAGGAGUCUGCCCAGGGUGAAAUAAAUACCCUGGAGGU